AUUCCAGCUCUCCGUCUGCCCCGCCUCCUCUUCUCUCCCGCCCACCAUGCUUAGGCCUCUGGCAGCCCGGCUCGGACAAUGAGGUUCCUGUGUCCGAGAAUGACGAGGGUCUUCUGGCUUCCAGCUUCAAGAGAGAAGAUGGAUGAUGCCAACCCCACUUUCCACUGCUAAAGGAAAAGAUUUUGGGAAGAAGUCAACUUGAGAGGAGCUGGCAGCAUCCAUCAUAUCCUUAUUCCUAAUUUGGUACAACUAAAUCUUUGGGAGAAUUUCCCUUUGGGGUAAAGUCUGAUUGCUGUCCUCCUGGUCUGAGCUCUGCAAGUUCCUGACGAGUCAAGGAAUUGCAACUCAUGAAGACCCAAGAUUAUCUACCAAAACAUGAAAGGGUUGCAAUCUGCUUUGGUAAAGAGAAUACCUUCAUUAAUGAAAGGCCCCUGAAGGAUUGAUAUCUCAUUUUUUUUCUUGAUUGUACCUUCAUAGGUGUUUUAAGGGACCCAGCAAGGAGUGAAUCAAGAUUGAGACAAAUGCUUCCAAGGUGACCCAGGGGAGAGAUGGAUGGAAAUCAUUUGUGAAUGAGAAUCUAAAAGAGUAAUACCUGAUUCAAUUCCCUAUUAUUAUCUGUUAUUUGACCCCACACAAUAAGUUUGCUUUGAAUUUGUAGUCAUUGGGUUUGGUUAGGAAAACAUUGGCACUGGCUUUGGAGCCAGUUAAAUAUAUGGGGUAAAAUAUGUGAUUUCCCUAACAGUACUAGGGACUGAGUAUAUAGCUGUGAGGGAACCAAAAUGAGAGGAGCCACAAAGGCUAUACUGGGAACAGGUAAAAACUGAGGAAACGAUACAGAAGCAACAAAGUGAACUGAACAUGCCUAUAAAAAAGAAGUUACGAGUUCUGGGAAAAUAUAUACUGAAAACGAAGAAGAUGACUCUCAAGACUUGCUGUAUUAUUCUUCCUAUAAAUCAUAUUAUCUUAAACAGAA